GGCUUUUAUAUGUAUUUUCCCCGUGGUUUUUCUUCUCUUUUUAUAAAAAUAAAAACCUUCUUCUGUUUCGUAAGGGCAUGAAGAGAGCUUCACUUCCUGGGACAAAACUUGGAAUAAACCAUGUUGUGUUGUGAACGCAACAAUACAACGCUAAUGUUCGCAAACGCACUCCUUCAUAUCAAGAGUCAAGACAAACAGCAACUGCUCAAAAACAUUCCAUAACUAUGGCUUCUUCUGUUUCCCACAACAGUUUCUCAACGAUUCCUCUUUUUGUCGGUUUCCUUGUUGCUUCCUCCCUUGCCCAUGUCCUGUCCUCCCCAUUGAUGUCAGAUUCCGGUAACCGGCAAAUGAAAAACCAUACUUUUAAACCUGCUAAGGACAUUCAGAUGCUAAGGGGAAUAAAUGCUUAUCUCAAGAAGAUCAAUCAGCCUGCUGUGAAGACAAUUCAGGCUGGCAUCUUCUUUCCCCUGUCGUAUCUUGUUCGGAAUUUUCUUCUAGUCUUGUUCCACGAGUUUAAACAGUUUUGUUGCUGCAGAGUCCAGAUGGUGAUAUCAUAGAUUGUGUUCUCUCUCAUCUUCAACCUGCUUUCGAUCACCCUGAGCUUAGAGGGCAGAAACCAUCAGUAAAUUUCUGCUUUACCAGUUUAGCUGAUAUUUAGAAAUAAACAAAUUCAAUGUCGGUGAGCAUCUGAAACUUUGCAAGUUUGGGGCAUCUCCAUGAAACAACCUCAUUUUGACAGGAUCCACCGGCGAGGCCAAAACGUCACAACUCUACGAUGCAAACCCUGAGAACUUGUAACUAUGGACAGGCUCAGGUGAAUCUUGCCCCGAAGGAACUGUUCCAAUCAGAUGAACUACAGAGAAAGACGUUUUGAGAGCAAGUUCUGUUAGGAGAUAUGGAAGAACAAGAAGAAGACAUGUAAGGAGAGACUCAACAGGCAGCGGCCAUGAGCACGCAGUUGUGUUUGUAAAUGGAGAUCAGUAUUAUGGAGCAAAGGCAAGCUUAAACGUGUGGGCGCCUCAUGCGACUAAUGAAUACGAGUUUAGCUUGUCACAGAUAUGGAUCAUCUCUGGUUCUUUUGGCAAUGAUCUUAAUACCAUUGAAGCUGGUUGGCAGGCAUGUCCCUGAAUUUUUAGUACAUAAUGCAGAAUCUCUGUAUUGGCAAGUCCCCAUCUUCAAUUAAUAUCCUGAGGCUGAGAAGAAAACCUCAGUCGUAAAUAUGUUAUAUUUAACUUUCAAAUAGUAUCCUAGAAACAUCAAAAUGGUGCGUGAAACACGAGCUUUCUGCAAAACCCUUUUCCAAGUUGCUUUCACUUAUCAACGUGCAAAAUUCUUUUGUUUAAGCUGUUGAACCACCAUCUUCUGCAUGCUUCUAAAUCUAAUGAACAAUUGCAUUCAUGCUACUUCAGGUUAGCCCUGAAUUAUAUGGAGAUAAUUACCCUAGAUUCUUCACAUACUGGACAACUGACGCAUAUCAAGCCACUGGAUGUUACAACUUGCUCUGUUCGGGCUUUGUCCAAACCACCAAUAAGAUUGCUAUUGGAGCAGCAAUCUCACCAAUCUCCUCCUACAAUGGCAGACAGUUUGACAUCGACAUAAUGGUUUGGAAGGUGGGUGCUUGCAGAAUUCCCCAAAGUAGAAACUAUAAAAAGUUAUGAAUGGAGUAAAUUAACAAUAUGGCAUCAUUUAAAAAAAAAACAAAUAAGGGAAGGUCUUUUUGGUGUUUUACUGAUUCACAUCUGCUGCUUCAAUGUUU